UGGGAUGUGGCUCAGUGACAGAGUGCUUGCCUGGCAUGCAGGAAGCCAUGGGUUCAAUCCCCAUUAUUGGAA
rnacentral:tRNA from 1 species